rnacentral:rRNA from 1 species
UACGGAGGGAGCUAGCGUUGUUCGGAAUUACUGGGCGUAAAGCGCGCGUAGGCGGCUUUGUAAGUUAGAGGUGAAAGCCCGGGGCUUAACUCCGGAACUGCCUUUAAGACUGCAUCGCUAGAAUGCAGGAGAGGUGAGUGGAAUUCCGAGUGUAGAGGUGAAAUUCGUAGAUAUUCGGAAGAACACCAGUGGCGAAGGCGGCUCACUGGACUGGUAUUGACGCUGAGGUGCGAAAGCGUGGGGAGCAAACAGG